CAGAAAGUAGUUUAAUAAUAAAACCUUAAUUUUGGAAAUUAAAAACAGAAACAAUAUAUAUAUAUAUAAUUCUCUUUCUGA
rnacentral:tRNA from 1 species